GGCUGGUCUAAAGGUAGUGAGUUAUCUCACUUGGUUGUUGGCAGUCACAGGUUGAACUCCUUGUUCUACUACUUUCCCCCUCCUCCCUACUGCACUUGACUAGUCAAAA
rnacentral:Y_RNA from 1 species